rnacentral:rRNA from 1 species
UACGUAGGGUGCGAGCGUUAAUCGGAAUUACUGGGCGUAAAGCGUGCGCAGGCGGCGCGUUAAGACAGGUGUGAAAGCCCCGAGCUUAACUUGGGAAUUGCGCUUGUGACUGGCGUGCUGGAGUGUGGCAGAGGGAGGUGGAAUUCCACGUGUAGCAGUGAAAUGCGUAGAUAUCAGGAGGAACACCUGUGGCGAAAGCGGCUCACUGGACCAUAACUGACGCUGAUGCACGAAAGCUAGGGGAGCAAACAGG